GGAAGAGAGAAGGUAAAACAGAAAGGAAAGGAAAACAGAACGGAAAGGGAGAGAAAAUGGUGAGAUAGAAAGAAAAAAAGAUUGAGAGAAAGAAGAAGAGAAGGAGAAAAGAAGAAGAGAGAAAACAACCAAGACAUUAACAACCAAGAAAAAGAGAAAGGAAAAGUGCAUUUUGCUAGAAGUCUCUGUAGAAGGAGUUGAGGGUACCGUCAUUUUCUCCAUUUUUGGAAAUCAAGAGGUAAGAAAGGCUCAGACCACAUGUUGAAGAAAUGACGCGUGUCAGUUUACACUAUAGUCUGCUUAUAGUUUAUGGGAAAUUAUUUUGAACCAUGGAUGUGUUAUGUACUCCAUAUUUCUAUGUUUUUCUUUGAAUGUUUAGUAUGUGUAUGAAUACAUUUUCAUGACUUUGUGUCAGGAUUGUAUUAAUCAUCUCUUUUGUCGAAUUAUGUUAAUGCUAAAGUUAUAUUCUAGACAAUUAA